UACAGAGGUGGCAAGCGUUGUUCGGAAUUACUGGGCGUAAAGGCGCGUAGGCGGCCUUCUAAGUCAGACGUGAAAUCCCCGGCUUAACCUGGAACUGCGUCUGAUACUGGAGGCUUGAGUAUGGGAGAGGGAUGUAGAAUUCCAGGUGUAGCGGUGAAAUGCGUAGAUAUCUGGAGGAAUACCGGUGGCGAAGGCGGCAUCCUGGACCAUUACUGACGCUGAGGCGCGAAAGCUAGGGAGCAAACGGGG
rnacentral:rRNA from 1 species